UGGGGAAUAUUGGACAAGGGGCGCAAGCCUGAUCCAGCCAUGCCGCGUGAGUGAUGAAGGCCCUAGGGUUGUAAAGCUCUUUCACCGGUGAAGAUAAUGACGGUAACCGGAGAAGAAGCCCCGGCUAACUUCGUGCCAGCAGCCGCGGUAAUACGAAGGGGGCUAGCGUUGUUCGGAUUUACUGGGCGUAAAGCGCACGUAGGCGGACUAUUAAGUCAGGGGUGAAAUCCCGGGGCUCAACCCCUGAACUGCCUUUGAUACUGGUAGUCUUGAGUUCGAGAGAGGUAAGUGGAAUUCCGAGUGUAGAGGUGAAAUUCGUAGAUAUUCGGAGGAACACCAGUGGCGAAGGCGGCUCACUGGCUCGAUACUGACGCUGAGGUGCGAAAGCGUGGGGAGCAAACAGG
rnacentral:rRNA from 1 species